rnacentral:rRNA from 1 species
GACGAACCGUGCGAACGUUAUUCGGAAUCACUGGGCUUAAAGCGCGUGUAGGCGGAUGGGCACGUCGGUCGCUGAAAUCCCCCGGCUCAACCGGGGAACGGGCGCCGAAACGACCCGUCUGGAGGGACGUAGGGGGACCUGGAACUUCCGGUGGAGCGGUGAAAUGCGUUGAGAUCGGAAGGAACACCAACGGCGAAAGCACUCUGCUGGGCCGACACUGACACUGAGAGACGAAAGCUAGGGGAGCGAAUGGG